AUAUAGCGGAACGCACCCGAGAGGGGGGGACAACGCAGCGAAAGCCGCGCAAACACCGCAAACGAUCUACGGAUGAGGGUGGGGGAUCGCAAGACCUCAUGCUCAUGGAGCGGCCGAUAUCUGAUUAGCUAGUUGGUGGGGUAAAGGCCUACCAAGGCAUCGAUCAGUAGGUGGUCUGAGAGGACGACCAGCCACACUGGAACUGAGACACGGUCCAGACUCCUACGGGAGGCAGCAGUGGGGAAUUUUGGACAAUGGGGGCAACCCUGAUCCAGCAAUGCCGCGUGAGUGAAGAAGGCCUUCGGGUUGUAAAGCUCUUUUGUCAGGGAAGAAACGGUGAGGGCUAAUAUCCUUUGCUAAUGACGGUACCUGAAGAAUAAGCACCGGCUAACUACGUGCCAGCAGCCGCGGUAAUACGUAGGGUGCAAGCGUUAAUCGGAAUUACUGGGCGUAAAGCGUGCGCAGGCGGUUAUGUAAGUCAGAUGUGAAAUCCCCGGGCUCAACCUGGGAAUGGCAUUUGAGACUGCAUGGCUAGAGUGUGUCAGAGGGGGGUAGAAUUCCACGUGUAGCAGUGAAAUGCGUAGAGAUGUGGAGGAAUACCGAUGGCGAAGGCAGCCCCCUGGGAUAACACUGACGCUCAUGCACGAAAGCGUGGGGAGCAAAAAGGAUUNGAUCCCCUGGUAGUCCACGCCCUAAACGAUGUUUAACUAUUGGUCGGGACUUAAUUGUUUAGGAAACGCACCUAACGCGUGAAAGUAGACCCCCUGGGGGAGUACGGUCGCAAGAUUAAAAUUCAAAGGAAUUGACGGGGGACCCGCACAAGCGGUGGAUGAAGUGGAUUAAUUCGAUGCAACGCGAAAAACCUUACCUACCCUUGACAUGUACGGAACCUCUGAGAGAUUAGAGGGUGCUCGAAAGAGAGCCGUAACACAGGUGCUGCAUGGCUGUCGUCAGCUCGUGUCGUGAGAUGUUGGGUUAAGUCCCGCAACGAGCGCAACCCUUGUCAUUAGUUGCUACGAAAGGGCACUCUAAUGAGACUGCCGGUGACAAACCGGAGGAAGGUGGGGAUGACGUCAAGUCCUCAUGGCCCUUAUGGGUAGGGCUUCACACGUCAUACAAUGGUACAUACAGAGGGCCGCCAACCCGCGAGGGGGAGCUAAUCCCAGAAAGUGUAUCGUAGUCCGGAUUGUAGUCUGCAACUCGACUACAUGAAGUUGGAAUCGCUAGUAAUCGCGGAUCAGCAUGUCGCGGUGAAUACGUUCCCGGGU
rnacentral:rRNA from 1 species